GAGGAGCUCAAUACAGCACUGAAAUAUUUACAGGAGAAACUGAAACACAAUGAAGAAAAGAAAGCAGAGUUUGAGAAAACAGUUCAACACAUCAAGUUUCAAGCUGAUCACACAGAGCGUCAGAUUAAACAUGAGUUUGAGAAGCUUCAUCAGUUUCUCCGAGAUGAAGAAGAAGCUGCAAUCACUGCACUGAGGGAGGAAGAGGAGCAGAAGAAGCAGAUGAUGAAGGAGAAGCUGGAGGAGAUGAACACACACAUCUCAGCUCUUUCACACACGAUCAAAGACACGGAGGAGAUGCUGAAAGCCAAUGACGUCUGCUUUCUAAAGGAGUUUCCAGUCUCGAUGGAAAGAGUCCAGAUCUCACAGCCGGAUCCACAGACGCCUUCUGGAGCUUUGAUUCAUGUGUGUCGCUACUUGGGGAACCUGCCGUUCAGAGUCUGGAAGAAGAUGCAGGACAUCGUCCACUACACUCCUGUCAUUCUGGAUCCAAACACUGCAAAUCCACGUCUCGUCCUGUCUGAUGAUCUGACCAGUGUGAGGUUCAACAACAAAAAUCAACCUGUUCCUGAUAAUCCAGAAAGAUUUAACUAUUAUUGGUGUGUUCUGGCUUCAGAGGGUUUUACCUCAGGGAAACACUGCUGGGAUGUGGAGGUUAAAAAGUAUUGUUACUGGUGGAGUCUUGGAGUAACUACAGCAUCAAAGGACAGGAAAAGAAGUGAUUUCUUUAACACUGGUGUCUGGAGUGUGCAGUGUGGUACUACUGUAGGCUCUGGCGUUACUGUUAAUCAGGAUCUUGAGCGUGUGAGAGUUGAUCUAGACUGUGACAGAGGAAUAGUGUCUUUCUCUGAUCCUGUAACAAACACACAUCUACACACAUUCACAACCACCUUCACUGAAUCUGUCUUUCCUUUCUUUAAUGGUUCAGCCUCUCUGAGGAUCUUACCGUUCAGUAGUCAGUAAAAGUUACACCUGUAGGUCUGGAUCUUCUUUCUUCAUGUUUUCAAUAUUUAAUCCACAUUAAACCCGGCUCACACUGUGCAAUGUUUAAUAAUCCUAUAGAAUCCUGUCAAUCCUUCAUAAACGUGACUCUUGUGUCACACUGUAAUAUCUCAUAAUGUCAUAAUGUCAGACUGAACAACAACAAACACACACAUGCACACAAACACACACAUGCAAGAAAACUCAUGCAGAGACUGACAUAAUCCAUCUUUGACACUUCCACUAACCUGCGUUCUGACAUUAUAUCUCACAACAACCUUAAAGGGGUGGUCCAGAAUGUAAUUUUAAGGCUUGGUUGUGUUUAUAAGAUGCAAAGUGUGUGCUUAUGGUUCACUUGAAGGAAAUAGUGUUAUUUUUUCAUAUAUGUCACUUUGAUUAUACACAGCUACUCAGCUAACAUGAAAACGACUGUCAUGUUUCCUAGUUCCCCUAAAAGACCCACCCUCAAGUGACUCUGAUUGGUCAUCGUCAUAAUGUGCUGCUAUUGGCGGAUCGGCUCCACAUCACGCCCGU